GAAAAGGAUUCAUUUGUGAAAGAGGAAUUCAGAAAUACGUAUACAAACGACAGCACUAAGUAUAGGAGCGUCAUAAUCAAAGCUGACCGAGAGCCAGUGGGGCGGGCUGAGAGAGCAGGGAGAUGGCCUUGGGCUGGCUGUCUUUUGAAUGCUGUAUUAUGAACGCUUCUUUACAUUUCCCUAAAUGUAUUUAUUUCUUUUAAACUUUUAAUUUUGAUACAUUAUAGAUUUAUGUAUAGUUUAAAAGCUAUUUAAAUUGUUUUUUUUUAAACUUUUGUAUGUAUAUAUGGUGUGUGUGGGGUGGGGGGUAUGUAUACUUUUGUGCACAUUUGUGGCCAGAGCCCAGAGGAGGGUAUUGGGUGUCCUCUACCACUCUCUGCCUCAUUCCCUUGAGGCAAGGUCUUUUUCUCUGACCCAGAAAUUCUAUUUUUGCCUAGGCUGUCAGCUAGUUAGCCCCAGAGAUCCUCUGUGUUCCUCUCAGAGCUGGAGUUACAGGCUUGCUCACAGUCAAGCUUGGCUUGUUACAUAGUUGCUAGGAUUUGAACUCAGGUCCUCAGAGUUGCACAGCGAGCACUCUCAACCACCGAACCCUUUCUCUAGCCCUUUUUGUACAGUGUUAAACACUCUUCCUUCCAUUCCCACCCACUGGCAGCCCAUUGCAUAACUACAGUAAAAUAGCAAAUGAGAAACUGACAUAGAGAUCUCAGUUACUGCAUAGUAUGUGUGCUGUGUACAUGUAGGAAUAUUCCUAAUUAAGGUCGAAGUCCGCCAUGACCAGAUAGUCUCUGGGCUCUGUGCAAUAUGGGAAACUCUUCCUUAGUAGAGCCUCUCCUCUGACCUUGUCUGAGGAAUUCUCUUUUUUUCUCUCUCUCUUUCAAAACUUCUGUUUUAAUUUAAGAAUAACUUUUGCCAUCAAGUUUUACUUCUAAAGAUAAGUUCAGUGACAUUCAGCUAGAUUUUAGCAAGCAUCUAGUCUAUAAAACCACGUGAUUUUUAACAUAAUCUGUGCAACUAUAAGCAAUUCAAUUCAAUAUGUUUAGCAACUGAAAAUUUCAGGAUGUCAAAAUCAAUCUCUUAGCCCAUAUCAUGUCUUCAACUGCAGUCUGGGGACUUCUAAUGCUCCACAUACACCUCUGCCUGAGGAAUGCCACAUAGCCUCAAUUAGAUUACAGGAUCAUUUCCUUUCUCCUGAUAAAGUCUGUUCAGGUAGCCCCUGAGAUUUCUGAAAUGCUUUCCCAUGCUAAUGAGGCAUUUCGGUGCCCUAAUCCCUCAUCCAAUGACCUUUGCCCAUUCUACCCUCAGCCCCCCCCCCCCCAAUGUUAUAAGCCUUCAAUCACCUUUAGUAAAGUUCUCUGCCUCCUAAUAAUGGGUAUGAUCGUUCUCUGUAAGUACUCACAGGGCUUCCAAGUCGUCACCACCCCACCUCCUGCCGUCUCUUUCCCUACUGCCUUCACGGACCUUGAGGUCGACAAUCUAUGAUAGCAGGGAGACACGUGCAUGUAGGUGCACAUACCCAUGUGCCCAUGAAUGCUUGCAUGGAGACCAGAAGAAGAUAUUUAGUGCCCUCCUCGCUCUACCUCAUCCCUUUGUGACAAGGUCUUCCACUGAAUCUGGAGUUUGCUCUUUCUUUCUUUCUCUUUCUUUCUUUCUUUCUUUCUUUCUUUCUUUCUUUCUUUCUUUCUUUCUUUCUUUCUUUCUUUCUUUCUUCCUUCCUUCCUUCCUUCCUUCCUUCCUUCCUUCCUUCCUUUCUUUUUUUUUUUCCCAGCUAGACUGGCUAGCCCUGUGAUUCUUUGGCCUUCAACCGCACUCUCCUAUACUGGGGUUGUAGGUGCCCAUGGGAAUGCUCAGCUUUGUGUGGGUGCUAGAGAUAUGAAUUCGGUCCUCAUUCCUGCAUGCUUGCAUGCUCCUACUUGUCAUAUAUCUCCCCAACCUAUUUGCUAUCGAUUUUGAACAAUAGCAACCCAAACUGAGUUCAUGUUCCUUUAGCACUACACAAAGGCAGAUGUGAGGUAUAGCUAUUUUGGAAUGAGUAAUGACAUUUUUCAGUUAUAAAAAUGAGUGUCACAAACUAUGAGGCAAGGAACAUUGAACUUGAAUGAGCAAGACUGCUUUUAGACAUGUUCCUACAUGUGAGCAGUAUUUCUGCCCUGAGUAUUAAGCACAUAGUGUAUCUCAGAGGGCCUUUGAUCAGAAAAGAAGCAAAUCUGACCACAGGAGGAUUUCUUCCCAACAAGGGCUGUGUAUGUACUGUGGAUGAAUAUAUAGAAUACAAAGAGUUGUUUCAGCAAGAUAGUAGAUAAAAACACAAAAGAGAUUCUUGGAAGUUAAUUUGUGUGUGUGUGUGUGUGUGUGUGUGUGUGAAAUUUAAAUUUCAGGAUUACAGGAGUUGUGGCUCUAAGGCUAUAGUGGAAAUGGUGUGGAGUGUAUGACCAAAGGUACAGGCAUGGUUACUAGAAAGGGUUCUUGAAACACUUAGCAAGGACCGUGAUUCUGUUUCUUCCUAUUAGUUCCAUUGUUACAAGAGACCUCCAUUAAUACUAUUAAAUUAUUAAUCUGCGAUAUGACAGGAGAGUAGCAAAUCCAUAGCAGUUGAAUGCAUGGGGAUGACCUCUGGACUAUGGGAAGAAAGUAGGAAAACAGAAAGGCUGACCAACCAACAGGCAAGGACAUCCCAGCAAGGACGCCAGAGGCCAGCAACCAUACUCGGAGUAGCACUGCUUUGUGCAGCCAUACUUCUGCUGGCAACAGCCCUUCCCACAGCCACAGCCACAGCCAUAGCCACCCAUGUUAGUAGAGUGGACUCGGGUGAAGUGAGGAGAGAACUGAAGGGAGAAGGAGGUCUGAAAGUCUGGCUUGGCAUGAAGCCUAUGGUCACUUCCUUGCUGACGCUUUGGCCUCUGUGGUGAGCACAUCUCCUCUUGGCUACUUCCUCACCUUCCAAGGGCACACGGCUUCAUUUGAACUACAGUUUUAGGUGGAUUCAUUUCCUUUUCAACAAUGGAAUGUGAACUGUCUGAAAUAUUUAAUGAACCUGUUGUUCUGUCUGCUUGAGAAUGAGAUUUCUUUGACCUCAGCUGGAGAUGAACAUCUUCCUCAUCCUUGCCAGUCAAGGCUGGCACCCCAGAUGGAAGGUGUCAUUGCCUUAGUUUUAUUUUCACAUAACGUUUAAUGGUAAGAAGUUUUGGAGAGGAAAGAGCCUUAAAGUCAAUAUGCAUCAAUAAAGAUAGUCUAUAAAUUAAGUAGAAAACUUUAAAAAUAAGCUAUUCAAGGAUAGAAAAAUGGAUCAAUGUUUGCACCCUUCUCACCCACAUAAAAGCAGUGGAUGUGGUGGUGCACCCACAAUCCUAGCACUUAAGAGGAUAUAGAGGAUCCCCUAAGCAAACUGCCUAGCUAGACCAGCUGAAUUGGCAAGGUUUGGCUUCAAAUGAGAGACUCUACAUUGAUAUGUAAGGUGGAGCGCAAUUAAAGAAGAUGCCAGAUGGGCUGCCUAGUUUUCAUGUAAACCCGGCACAAGCAGGGAUUAUCUGAGAAGAAGAAUCCUCAGCUGAGAAAAUGCUACCAAAUUGGCUUGUGGGUGGAGGCAUGGUUCAUUUUCUUGAUUGAUGACUUAUAUGGGAGGACCCAGCUCCCUGUGGGCAGUGCCACCGCUGUGCUGGUGGUCCUGGAUACUCUAAGAGAGCAGAGUAGACAAACCUGUGAGGAACAAGCCAAAAAGUAGUCGUCUUUCAUGACCUUUGCUUCAGUUCCUGCCUUGAAUUCUUGCCCUUACUCCAAUGACUACAGGAUCACAAGUUGUUAGAUGAAAUAAACUCUUUCCUGUCCGAGCUGCUUUUGGUCCCAGUGUCUCAUCACAGCAGUAGAAACCAUAAGAAAACAUGCCAACCUCUGGUCUCCACGUGAGCCUGUACACACACAUGCAGAUACACAUACAACCCUUACACAUGAACAUGC
rnacentral:lncRNA from 1 species